GAGGCCCGUGAAGAUCGGCAUCGGCGUGUUCGUGGCGGCGGUGGUAAUCGCCGUGGUCGUCAUAGUACUCGUGGGCGUGGCCAGAAAUAAGGACACCGGUGAAACACCAACGCCUGAGUUUGAGUUUGAAGAAAUCUGCGUCGUGGAACCACCAUCUCUCAGAAAACAAGUUCAGAUCACAUGCGAUUUUCGUGACACCGCAAACGUGGAUCCGGAUAUUCGGGAUAAGCUGAAAGCAGCGACCAUAGACGCCGCCGCCACCACCGUGAAGCUAAAUGGAAGAGAUGAUCUU